rnacentral:rRNA from 1 species
UACGUAGGGUGCAAGCGUUAAUCGGAAUUACUGGGCGUAAAGCGUGCGCAGGCGGUUCGGAAAGAAAGAUGUGAAAUCCCAGGGCUUAACCUUGGAACUGCAUUUUUUAACUACCGGGCUAGAGUGUGUCAGAGGGGGGUGGAAUUCCACGUGUAGCAGUGAAAUGCGUAGAUAUGAUGGAGGAACACCGAUGGCGAAGGCAGCCCCCUGGGAUAACACUGACGCCUCAUGCACGAAAGCGUGGGGAGCAAACAGG